rnacentral:rRNA from 1 species
CUACUCUUGACAUCCAGAGAAUUCGCUAGAGAUAGCUUAGUGCCUUCGGGAACUCUGAGACAGGUGCUGCAUGGCUGUCGUCAGCUCGUGUUGUGAAAUGUUGGGUUAAGUCCCGCAACGAGCGCAACCCUUAUCCUUUGUUGCCAGCACGUCAUGGUGGGAACUCAAAGGAGACUGCCGGUGAUAAACCGGAGGAAGGUGGGGAUGACGUCAAGUCAUCAUGGCCCUUACGAGUAGGGCUACACACGUGCUACAAUGGCAUAUACAAAGAGAAGCAAACUCGCGAGAGCAAGCGGACCUCAUAAAGUAUGUCGUAGUCCGGAUUGGAGUCUGCAACUCGACUCCAUGAAGUCGGAAUCGCUAGUAAUCGUAGAUCAGAAUGCUACGGUGAAUA